GAAAGCGCUAGCAGGCGGGAGGAGGCCGGGCCAGCACGGAUCCGACCCGGGUGUGGGAUGGGGAUCAGCCCGUUCACGGAGCGCCUCCUGCACCAGGGGUUUUUGAAGCUCUUCAGUCCUGCCCGGUGUCCUUACAGACUUUACAGACGGAGAGACGCAGGCCCCGGGCGGUUAGGACGUGCAGAUGAGAAAACCAAGGCACAGAAAACUCAAGUUGUUGCUUCAAGUCAUAUGGCCACUAAAUAGGAAAGGCAGGAUUUGAACCCGGUGUCCUAUUCUGCCUUUGUAUGGAUGCACAUAGCUUCAAAAAAUCCCGCCUACGAAAACCCAAAUUCUCCCAAAGGGAAAGUGAGGCAGGAUUUGCUGCGGUAAAAGCACGACAUGCAUAGCUGUCCUGUGUGUGCGUGAUACUGGACAGUUUGCAAAGGACUUUCACGGCUCAGCGGGAUGAGGCCUCGCGCCAUCUUUGUUGAGGAGCGACUGCUUCUAAGUAGGAGAGGGCCUGUGGCUGACCUGAGGGGACCCCUGGGCUCCGGGAGCUGGGACUCCAACACUGGGCUCCCACGAAAAGGCCAGGCAUUUGCAUCGGAUAAACCACGUUUGCACCCUGGCUCCUUUCCUUUUUUUUGGUUUAAAUUUUUAUUUUAAAUUCAUUCUGGGCUUACAGGGGAGUUGCAAAGAGUGCAAUGAAUUCUUGUCUACCUUCACCUAGAUUCUUCAAAUGAUAACAUCUUACCCUAUUUGCUUUAUCCUUCUAUCAUCUAUCUAUCAUCCAUGCGUCUUUUUUUUUUUCUGAAAUACUUGAGAGUAAGUUGAAACAUACAUAUGUUUAUUUUCGGAAACAUUUGAGAGUAAGUUGCACAUACGCUAUUCCUUUACAAUAUCCAUAUGUAUUCCCCGAUACAAAGGAAUUCUUCUGCCCAACCACAAUCAAUGAUUAAAAUCAGGAAAUCGAUACAACCCGUGAUCUAAUCUACAGACUUGACUUAGAUUUUGCCAACUGUCCCAGUAACAUCCUCUAUAAAUAGCAGAAUAACAAUCAUCAUCGUUCCAG
rnacentral:lncRNA from 1 species